rnacentral:rRNA from 1 species
AACGAACGCUGGCGGCAGGCCUAACACAUGCAAGUCGAACGCCCCUUCGGAGGAGUGGCAGACGGGUGAGUAACGCGUGGGAACGUGCCCAUCGGUUCGGAAUAACCCAGGGAAACUUGGGCUAAUACCGGAUACGUCCGAGAGGAGAAAGAUUUAUCGCCGAUGGAUCGGCCCGCGUCUGAUUAGCUAGUUGGUGGGGUAAUGGCCCACCAAGGCGACGAUCAGUAGCUGGUCUGAGAGGAUGAUCAGCCACACUGGGACUGAGACACGGCCCAGACUCCUACGGGAGGCAGCAGUGGGGAAUAUUGGACAAUGGGCGCAAGCCUGAUCCAGCCAUGCCGCGUGAGUGAUGAAGGCCCUAGGGUUGUAAAGCUCUUUCGGCGGGGACGAUAAUGACGGUACCCGCAGAAGAAGCCCCGGCUAACCUCGUGCCAGCAGCCGCCGUAAAAC